rnacentral:lncRNA from 1 species
GUUGGGUUAAUCUCUAUUAAUCCAUAAUAAACCGUAAUCCACAAUAAAUCCAUUCGCUGUCGUCAUUUAACAACAAGUUUGGUCGGAGAUGUGUCAAAUUAAUUUUAUAGGAAAUAUAAGUGAAAAUUAAGAGGUAAGAAUAUUUUUACUUAUUUUGAUAGAACAGAAAUUGAAUUUCGGGCAAGAUUUUCAUAUGGCACCCCACCAUACUAAAAGAACCCACAGGCGCUUGGGUCUAUGAUUAUGAUACAGACAUGCACAG